UACAGAGGGUGCAAGCGUUUAAUCGGAAUUACUGGGCGUAAAGCGUGCGCAGGCGGCGCGUUAAGACAGGUGUGAAAGCCCCGAGCUUAACUUGGGAAUUGCGCUUGUGACUGGCGUGCUGGAGUGUGGCAGAGGGGAGGUGGAAUUCCACGUGUAGCAGUGAAAAUGCGUAGAGAUGUGGAGGAACACCGAUGGCGAAGGCAGCCUCCUGGGCCAGCACUGACGCUCAUGCACGAAAGCGUGGGGAGCAAACAGG
rnacentral:rRNA from 1 species